AUACAUAAGUGUAUAUGGAUUGUCUCGGUAGAGUCUUUUAGUGGCAUGGUUCGGUCCUCUUCCCCAUUAUAUAGAAAAAGUGAGCCACCACUUCAGCUACAACAUAAUAUCACUACCGCCAGUACAAUUAGACAUCCAACCCGUAAUCGCAACAAUCCAAUUGCAAGAGCGGCCCAAACUUCUACAGGAGGUAGCAGUGAGGAAUUUUUCGUAAUGGGCGAAAGCUUAACGGAGAAAUGUCGCGUUGAGGUAGAAGGCUGAUGGGUCAUGAACUUCUUUUCAUGAACUAACUCUAUGCCAGCGGCCGCGGUAAUACAAAGGAUGCAAGCAUUAUCCGGAAUGUUUGGGCGUAAAGUGUUUGUAGGUGGGUUUUUAAGUCGGUUGUUAAAUCCCAGGGCUCAACUCUAGAUAGACACUUGAAACCACCAAGCUGGAGUAUGGUAGGGGCAAAGGGAAUUUCGGUAGAACGGUGAAAUGCGCAGAGAUCGGAAAGAACACAAACGGCAAAAGCACUCUGUUAGGCGACACUAACACUAAGAGACGAAAGCUGGGGGAGCGUUUGGGAUUAAAUGCCUAAUUAGUCCAAGCCGUAAACGAUAGACACUUGGCGAUGUACGUAAUGAUCCGUGCAGUGAUGUAGCUAAUUCGUUAAGUAUCCCGCCUGGGGAGUACGUUCGCAUGAAUGAAACUCAAAGGAAUUGAAGGCGGACCACACAAGCGGUGGAGCAUAUGGUUUAAUUCAAUGCAAAACAACAAACCUUACCAGGGCUUGACAUGCCGUGAAUCCUCUUGAAACAGAAGGGUGCCUUAGGGAACGCGGACACAGGUGGUGCAUGGUUGUCGUCAGCUCGUGCCAUAAGGUGUUGAGUUAAGUCAUGCAACGUGUGCAGGCCUCGUGUUUAGUUGCCAUCAUUAAGUUUGGAACCCUGAACAGAUUGUCGGUGAUAAGCCGGAGGACGGUUAGGAUGAUGUCAAAUCAUCAUGCCCCUUAUGCCCUGGGCGACACACGUGCUACAAUGGUCGGAACAAAGGUCCCGAUCCCACGAGGGUGAGCUAACUUCAAAAAAUCGUCCUCAGAUCAGAUUGUAUGCUACAACUCGCCUGCAUGAAGUCGUAAUCCCCGGUAAUCGCUGGUCAGCCAUACGACAGUGAAUCUGUUCCCGAGCCUUGUACACACCACCCGUCACACUAUGGGAGCUGGCAAUGCCCCGAAGUCGUUACAUUAACCGUAAGGAGGGGGAUGCCAAAGGCAGGGCUAGUGACUGGAGUGAAGUCGUAAUAAGGUAGUCGUACUGGAAACUGCUGCUGCAUCACCUCCUUU
rnacentral:rRNA from 1 species